UGAUCACCAACACUUACCUUCACCAUCAAUAAGAAGAGACUCAGGAACAAGACAGCCAGGUUCAGACUUUCAGAAGGAGGCUGAAGGAAUAUGGCUGGUCCGGCCCAGAUGAUAAUGUGCAGUGGCAGCCCCCAAAGAGAGAGAUGAUGGCCCACUGUCUGAGUAGAAGGAAGGAAACAGGACAAGAGCUUUCCGAUGGCCACUUUGAAAAGUCUGCCCUUUCUCUUUCUCUCUCUUCUCCAAGUGUAACAAUAUGUUGAAUUUGCCAUGAGCCUUUAAAGCUUCGAUGUUGUGAAGAGCUCUGCAUGAAAUUUUAAAGAGACUGGACCUUUCAUCUGCACAGCAGCGGGGCAUCUCGCUAUGGGGACAAGAAAGGAAGAUAGAGAGAGAACAGUUCUGAAGCAAUAGCAAAAAAUAACAGCAGAAGCAAUUAUUUCAUCAAAGGUUGAUUUUUUUCUAUUCCCUACAUGUGUAUAUAUAUAUAUAUAUAUAUAUAUAUAUAUAUAUAUAUAUAUAUAUAUAUGUUUUAUUUUUUUCAAAUUUCUUAGCCAGAGAUUGUCUGCCUUUUGCCUUCGUCUCUUGGUGUAUGUUUAAUUUGCAGGUUUUGCAUGGUCAAAAUUGGGGAAAAAUUCAUAAAUGAAAAGAUGUUUAUUUUAGAAGGUGAUGUUAUUGAUUUAAAUGUAUUUGCAAGGGAUGUGCAAGUGCGGAAUGAUGCAGAGAACUAAAUUUGGCAUUCCCCAGAGUUCUUAGUCUGUUUAUCUACUUGGGGAUGUGAGUGAUGCAGAUGUGUUUUCUUCCUGACUUUGCUUUCUCCUUUUUCUCCCAUGAACAUCAGCACAAACUUUGCCUGCUCUGAGAGGGUAAGAGAAUUUCAUCUCUGU
rnacentral:lncRNA from 1 species